GCUUUCGUGGUGUAAUGGUCAGCACACUCGGCGCGUAUUCGAUAAGUCCGUGGUUCGAGUCCUGGUGAAAGCA
rnacentral:tRNA from 1 species